rnacentral:rRNA from 1 species
GGCGAACGGGUGAGUAACGCGUGGGUGAUCUGCCCUGCACUCUGGGAUAAGCCUGGGAAACUGGGUCUAAUACUGGAUAGGACCAUGCUGUAGGUGGUGUGGUGGAAAGAUUAGUUUCGGUAAGGGAUGAGCUCGCGGCCUAUCAACUUGUUGGUGGGGUAAUGGCCUACCAAGGCGUCGACGGGUAGCCGGCCUGAGAGGGUGGACGGCCACAUUGGGACUGAGAUACGGCCCAG